CAAUUCCUCCAUCAAAAACGCCAACAGCACAACCUUCAAUUAAACCAACAUCCUUUCCCUCGGCGCUACCAACAAUUUCACAUAUACCAACAGCAGGACCUACAUUCAUCCCAACUGCAACACCAACUGCAACUCCAGUACCAAGUGUAAUACCUACAUU
rnacentral:ribozyme from 1 species